rnacentral:rRNA from 1 species
GAUGAACGCUAGCGGCAGGCCUAACACAUGCAAGUCGAGGGGUAGGAAGAGCUUGCUUUUCUGAGACCGGCGCACGGGUGAGUAACGCGUAUGCAAUCUGCCUUAUACAGGGGAAUAGCCCAGAGAAAUUUGGAUUAAUGCCCCAUGGUUUAUUGAGAUGGCAUCAUUUUAAUAAUAAAGAUUUAUCGGUAUAAGAUGAGCAUGCGUAUCAUUAGCUAGUUGGUGUGGUAACGGCAUACCAAGGCAACGAUGAUUAGGGGUCCUGAGAGGGAGAUCCCCCACACUGGUACUGAGACACGGACCAGACUCCUACGGGAGGCAGCAGUGAGGAAUAUUGGUCAAUGGAGGCAACUCUGAACCAGCCAUGCCGCGUGCAGGAUGACGGUCCUAUGGAUUGUAAACUGCUUUUGUACAGGAAGAAACAUUGCUACGUGUAGCAACUUGACGGUACUGUAAGAAUAAGGAUCGGCUAACUCCGUGCCAGCAGCCGCGGUAAUACGGAGGAUCCGAGCGUUAUCCGGAAUUAUUGGGUUUAAAGGGUUCGUAGGCGGUUAGAUAAGUCAGUGGUGAAAUUUCCUAGCUUAACUAGGGCACUGCCAUUGAUACUGUUUAACUUGAAUAGUAUGGAAGUAACUAGAAUAUGUAGUGUAGCGGUGAAAUGCUUAGAUAUUACAUGGAAUACCAAUUGCGAAGGCAGGUUACUACGUACUUAUUGACGCUGAUGAACGAAAGCGUGGGGAGCGAACAGGAUUAGAUACCCUGGUAGUCCACGCCGUAAACGAUGGAUACUAGCUGUUCGGUCUUCGGAUUGAGUGGCUAAGCGAAAGUGAUAAGUAUCCCACCUGGGGAGUACGUUCGCAAGAAUGAAACUCAAAGGAAUUGACGGGGGCCCGCACAAGCGGUGGAGCAUGUGGUUUAAUUCGAUGAUACGCGAGGAACCUUACCAGGGCUUAAAUGUAGAUUGACAGAUUUGGAAACAGAUUUUUCUUCGGACAAUUUACAAGGUGCUGCAUGGUUGUCGUCAGCUCGUGCCGUGAGGUGUCAGGUUAAGUCCUAUAACGAGCGCAACCCCUAUUGUUAGUUGCCAGCGAGUAAUGUCGGGAACUCUAGCAAGACUGCCGGUGCAAACCGUGAGGAAGGUGGGGAUGACGUCAAAUCAUCACGGCCCUUACGUCCUGGGCUACACACGUGCUACAAUGGCAAGUACAGAAAGCAGCUACCUGGCAACAGGAUGCGAAUCUCCAAAGCUUGUCUCAGUUCGGAUUGGAGUCUGCAACUCGACUCUAUGAAGCUGGAAUCGCUAGUAAUCGGAUAUCAGCCAUGAUCCGGUGAAUACGUUCCCGGGCCU